rnacentral:miRNA from 1 species
UUUCAGAUUACAUUCUAUAGG